UGGGGAAUAUUGCACAAUGGGCGCAAGCCUGAUGCAGCCAUGCCGCGUGUAUGAAGAAGGCCUUCGGGUUGUAAAGUACUUUCAGCGAGGAGGAAGGCAUUGUGGUUAAUAACCGCAGUGAUUGACGUUACUAGCAGAAGAAGCACCGGCUAACUCCGUGCCAGCAGCCGCGGUAAUACGGAGGGUGCAAGCGUUAAUCGGAAUUACUGGGCGUAAAGCGCACGCAGGCGGUCUGUCAAGUCGGAUGUGAAAUCCCCGGGCUCAACCUGGGAACUGCAUCCGAAACUGGCAGGCUAGAGUCUUGUAGAGGGGGGUAGAAUUCCAGGUGUAGCGGUGAAAUGCGUAGAGAUCUGGAGGAAUACCGGUGGCGAAGGCGGCCCCCUGGACAAAGACUGACGCUCAGGUGCGAAAGCGUGGGGGGCAAACA
rnacentral:rRNA from 1 species